AGCUUUGCGCAGUGGCAGUAUCGUAGCCAAUGAGGUUUAUCCAAGGCGCGAUUAUUGCUAAUUGAAAGAUUUAAAGACAAA
rnacentral:snRNA from 1 species